rnacentral:rRNA from 1 species
GAUGAACGCUGGCGGCGUGCCUAAUACAUGCAGGUCGAGCGAACAGACGAGGAGCUUGCUCCUCUGACGUUAGCGGCGGACGGGUGAGUAACACGUGGAUAACCUACCUAUAAGACUGGGAUAACUUCGGGAAACCGGAGCUAAUACCGGAUAAUAUAUUGAACCGCAUGGUUCAAUAGUGAAAGACGGUUUUGCUGUCACUUAUAGAUGUAUCCGCGCCGCAUUAGCUAGUUGGUAAGGUAACGGCUUACCAAGGCAGCGGUGCGUAGCCGACCUGAGAGGGUGAUCGGCCACACUGGAACUGAGACACGGUCCAGACUCCUACGGGAGGCAGCGGUGGGGAAUCUUGCGCAAUGGGCGGAAGCCUGACGGAGCGACGCCGCGUGAGUGAUGAAGGUCUUCGGAUCGUAAAACUCUGUUAUUAGGGAGGAACAAGUGUGUAAGUAACUAUGCACGUCUUGACGGUACCUGGUCAGAAAGCCACGGCUAACUACGUG